rnacentral:rRNA from 1 species
CCUACGGGGGGCAGCAGUGGGGAAUCUUGCGCAAUGGCCGCAAGGCUGACGCAGCGACGCCGCGUGUGGGAUGACGGCCUUCGGGUUGUAAACCACUGUCGGGAGGAACGAAUACUCGGCCUCGAAUAGGGGACCGGGGGUGACGGUACCUCCAAAGGAAGCACCGGCUAACUCCGUGCCAGCAGCCGCGGUAAUACGGAGGGUGCGAGCGUUGUCCGGAAUCACUGGGCGUAAAGGGCGCGUAGGUGGCACGCUAAGUCGCUGGUGAAAUCCCGCUGCUCAACGGCGGGGCUGCCGGCGAGACUGGCGAGCUCGAGCACGGUAGGGGCAGAUGGAAUUCCCGGUGUAGCGGUGGAAUGCGUAGAGAUCGGGAAGAAUACCAGUGGCGAAGGCGUUCUGCUGGGCCGUUGCUGACACUGAGGCGCGACAGCGUGGGGAGC